rnacentral:rRNA from 1 species
AACGAACGCUGGCGGCAUGCCUAACACAUGCAAGUCGAACGAAGUGGCGCACGGGUGCGUAACGCGUGGGAAUCUGCCCUUAGGUUCGGCAUAACCGCUGGAAACGGCUGCUACUACCGGAUGCCUGUGGAGGAGCCCGCGUUGGACUGGGUAGUUGGUGGGGUAAAGGCCUACCAAGCCGACGAUCCAUAGCUGGUCUGAGAGGAUGAUCAGCCACACUGGGACGGGGACACGGCCCAGACUCCUACGGGAGGCAGCAGUGGGGAAGAUUGGACACUGGGCGAAAGCCUGAUCCAGCAAUGCCGCGUGAGUGAUGAAGUCCCUAGGGUUGUAAAGCUCUUUUACCCGGGAAGCUGUACCGGGAGAAUAAGCCCCGGCUAACUCCGUGCCAGCAGCCGCGGUAAUUC